GGAUGUGAGGGCGAUCUGGCUGCGACACCUGUCACCCCAUUGAUCACCAGGGUUGAUCGGCGAUCUGGCUGGCUAGGCGGGUGUCCCCUUCCUCUCUCACUGCUCCAUGUGCGUCCCCUCCCGAAGCUGGGGUGCUCGGGUGGAAAGACGAACGACCCAUCCCCCGAUAAGAGGGAGGACCGAAUCUUUCGGGUCAAGGGGUACCACGAAGUAGCUUGCGCCUCCCCCUUGGCUAGAAACCUUCCCAAAACAAGCUUCUCAAAUUGUCCAAGUUUUU
rnacentral:snRNA from 1 species